rnacentral:rRNA from 1 species
UUGACUUAGCGGCGGACGGGUGAGUAACGCGUGGGUAACCUGCCUUAUACAGGGGGGUAACAGUUAGAAAUGACUGCUAAUACCGCAUAAGCGCACGGGAACGCAUGUUUCUGUGUGAAAAACUGAGGUAGUAUAAGAUGGACCCGCGUCUGAUUAGCUGGUUGGUGGGGUAACGGCCUACCAAGGCGACGAUCAGUAGCCGGCCUGAGAGGGUGACCGGCCACAUUGGGACUGAGACACGGCCCAAACUCCUACGGAAGGCAGCAG